rnacentral:tRNA from 1 species
UCCUCAGUAGCUCAGUGGUAGAGCGCCCGGCUGUUAACCGGUAGGUCGCAGGUUCGAAUCCUGCCUGGGGAGCCA